GGGGCAUCUGUGAGGUGGGGGCGUCUGUGGGGUGGGGGCCAGCAUCAGUGGGAUGGGGGUCAGCAUCAGUGGGAUGGGGGUCAGCAUCAGUGGGGUGGGGGUCAGCAUCAGUGGGGUGGGGGUCAGCAUCAGUGGGGUGGGAGCGUCAGUGGGGUGGAAGAAUCAAUGGGAUGCGGAUCAGCAUCAGUGGGAUGGGGAUCUGAGAGCUGAGCACCAACGGGACGAGGACCUGGGGGUUAAUGGGACGAGGAUCUGUGCGUUAAUGGGAUGAGCAUCUGGCGGUUAAUUGGAUGAGGAUCUGGGGGUUAAUUGGAUGAGGACCUGGGUUUUAAUGGGAUGAGGACCUGUGCAUUAAUGGGAUGAAGAUCUGUGCAUUAAUGGGAUGAGGAUCUGGGGUUAAUUGGAUUGAGGACCUGUGCAUUAAUGGGAUGAAGAUCUGUGCAUUAAUGGGAUGAGGAUCUGGGGUUAAUUGGAUGAGGACCUGGGUUUUAAUGGGAUGAGGACCUGGGUGUCAAUGGGAUGGGGAUGGAGAUGCUGCUGGCCUGUUAAUGGGAUGGGGAUGGAGAUGCUGCUGGCCACAGCUCUGGGCUGCAUCCCACAGCGCCCCAAAUCUCCACAGGAAUGGGGUCAUUGGAUCCCAGUUAGGGUCAUCGGAUCUGAUCUGGGGUCAUCAGAUCCCAGUUGGGGUCAUCGGAUCCGAUUUGGGGUCAUCAGAUCCCAGUUGGGGUCAUCGGAUCUGAUUUGGGGUCAUCGGAUCCCAUUCCCCCCACAGCAGCAAUGGGGCAGGAAAUGGGGGCAGCGGAGCGAGCCGGGGGGAGCGCAUGGAUCCUUUUGGGGCCGCCCCUAUUUGGGGGAUGGACUGGGGGUCCCCCGCAGCAGAACGGCGCUCAGCCCGGGGGGGACGCGGUACGGCCGUGCGGGGGAUCCGUCGUUCCGCUCCAGAUCUUCACCUUUGGGGUCACCCCGGGGGUGGGGGGUGGGGGGGAGAGGGUAAAGCGGAGCGAAGAGCGAAGGAAGGGGAGGAAAAAAAGGAGAAAAAAGGGAAAUCGGAGUCAGUCGCAGCGAGACGGAGCCAACAGCAAAGCGGUGCGACGGAGACGCAGACAGGACGUGGGGCAGAGCUGCGGGGAGCCCUAAAUGGGGCGGGGGUCCCGGGGGGGCACUCACAGAAGCAGAGGAAGAGGGUAUCCACGCACAUCCCAAAGACGCUGAGGAAGCCGUGGGCGAUGAGGUAGGAGCCCACCAGCACCGUCUGUGGGGCAACGGUGUGGUUAUGGGGGGAGAACGGAGGGGGGCAGCGCCGGGUGGGCGACGACCCACGGGCGACAGCCAUUGGUCAAUUCCUGAUGGCCAACACUCAAUGGUCAGCACCCCAUUGGUCAACUCCUGAUGGUCAACACCCAAUAGCCAACCCCCAUUGGUCAAUUCCUGAUGGCCAACACCCAUUGGUCAACAUCCCAUUGGUCAACUUCUGAUGGCCAACACCCCAUUGGCCAAUAUCCAUUGGCCCACUCCUGAUGGCCAACCCCCAUUGGUCAAUUCCUGAUGGCCAACACCCAAUGGCCAACGUCCAUUGGCCAACUCCUGAUGGCCAACACCCCAUUGGUCAACUCCUGAUGGCCAACACCCAAUGGUGAACGUCCAUUGGCCAACUCCUGAAGGCCAACCCCCAUUGGUCAACUCCUGAUGGCCAACACUCAAUGGCCAACGUCCAUUGGCCAACUCCUGAAGGCCGACCCCCAUUGGUCAACUCCUGAUGGCCAACAC
ensembl:lncRNA